GAUCAUGGCUCAGGAUGAACGCUAGCUACAGGCUUAACACAUGCAAGUCGAGGGGAAACGAUAGAGAAAGCUUGCUUUUUCUAGGCGUCGACCGGCGCACGGGUGAGUAACGCGUAUCCAACCUGCCCAUCACUUGGGGAUAACCUUGCGAAAGUAAGACUAAUACCCAAUGACGUCUCUAGAAGACAUCUGAAAGAGAUUAAAGAUUUAUCGGUGAUGGAUGGGGAUGCGUCUGAUUAGCUUGUUGCGGGGUAACGGCCCACCAAGGCGACGAUCAGUAGGGGUUCUGAGAGGAAGGUCCCCCACAUUGGAACUGAGACACGGUCCAAACUCCUACGGGAGGCAGCAGUGAGGAAUAUUGGUCAAUGGACGAGAGUCCGAACCAGCCAAGUAGCGUGCAGGAUGACGGCCCUAUGGGUUGUAAACUGCUUUAUAAGGGAAUAAAGCGAGUCUCGUGAGGCUUUUGCAUGUACCUUAUGAAUAAGGACCGGCUAAUUCCGUG
rnacentral:rRNA from 1 species